CGCAACGGCCGACGCGGCCCGGCAUUUUUCUCUAAAUCGGCAGUAAAUACAGCUGAGUAAAAUUAGCUUGGUUUUCUUCCUUCUUUUGUAACUGAACUGUUUUUAUUAAAAAUCCUAUUUGAAUAUGUAGAAAAAGUGGGGAUGUCCUGUAAUAUAUCGUAGCUUUUCUUGUUUACAGGGUGCUCACAAAGCAUGCGUCCCUUAGAGUCCCACGGAAAGGUUCUCAGUGCGCUCUCUAUCAAGUGCUCUGAGUCUUGAUAAAUUGGAGAAGAGCCCAAGAGAAAUUUUUCAUCCCUUGAUAUAAAAGGGAUCGGUGAAUUUUAACUUUGGAGUCCUCUAUGCUAAGGAUGCUCAGCUUACAGAUGGUGAAAUAUUCAGUAAUGUAUUUGCUGCAGCUCUGCGAACCCAAGCUUUGGGUUCCUUCUGUCCCACUGGGAGUUGCCCAAUUUGGUUGCAUCUGGUGAAAUUCACCCUGAGACCUUACAGAAGCAGCUGCAACUACGUGAGAGCCAUUUGCAGUUCUCUCCAGACACCUGGAGAAUGGGUGACGUUUCUGAGGAUCCGGCGAGCGUGCUUCUAUCAAAACUCAGUCUGUGAAAUUUCUGGGGAAAACCCUUCUGUGUCCUAAAGGGUUCAAACUCUGGUGAGGAUCCAGUUAUCAGGUGCUCACCUGGAUGGUUCCAGCUCCCAAAGGGAAAGACUCUCGUAUCCUUGUCGUCGGGCUCGGUGCUGUCCAAGAAGACACAGAGACUACAAAAACCAUAAGAAGCCAAAUAUGACUGCAGGGAAAAGAAGCUGGAGAGAACAGAAGACUCAUCACGGCGGGACAGCGUGAAGACUGAAAGUGUAAGAAGAUGUGGAGGGAAACAGAGAAUCUGACAGGAGCAGCGGACGCACAAGUGCACGAAUUUUGCUUUUUGCUUGGAUGUAAACGCAGGAGUUGAAAGGAAUUUGGCAGUGAGAAGGGACAUUUCAGAAGGAGAAGAAGAAAAAGAAGUUGUUGUUGCUGUUGCUACAGUCCUGGCAAAAGCUUUUGUUCUAGGGUGCUCACAAAGCAUGCGUCCCUUAGAGUCCCACGGAAAGGUUCUCAGUGCGCUCUCUAUCAAGUGCUCUGAGUCUUGAUAAAUUGGAGAAGAGCCCAAGAGAAAUUUUUCAUCCCUUGAUAUAAAAGGGAUCGGUGAAUUUUAACUUUGGAGUCCUCUAUGCUAAGGAUGCUCAGCUUACAGAUGGUGAAAUAUUCAGUAAUGUAUUUGCUGCAGCUCUGCGAACCCAAGCUUUGGGUUCCUUCUGUCCCACUGGGAGUUGCCCAAUUUGGUUGCAUCUGGUGAAAUUCACCCUGAGACCUUACAGAAGCAGCUGCAACUACGUGAGAGCCAUUUGCAGUUCUCUCCAGACACCUGGAGAAUGGGUGACGUUUCUGAGGAUCCGGCGAGCGUGCUUCUAUCAAAACUCAGUCUGUGAAAUUUCUGGGGAAAACCCUUCUGUGUCCUAAAGGGUUCAAACUCUGGUGAGGAUCCAGUUAUCAGGUGCUCACCUGGAUGGUUCCAGCUCCCAAAGGGAAAGACUCUCGUAUCCUUGUCGUCGGGCUCGGUGCUGUCCAAGAAGAUACAGAGACUACAAAAACCAUAAGAAGCAAAAUAUGACUGCAGGGAAAAGAAGCUGGAGAGAACAGAAGACUCAUCACGGCGGGACAGCGUGAAGACUGAAAGUGUAAGAAGAUGUGGAGGGAAACAGAGAAUCUGACAGGAGCAGCGGACGCACGAGUGCACGAAUUUUGCUUUUUGCUUGGAUGUAAACUCAGGAGUUGAAAGGAAUUUGGGAGUGAGAAGGGACAUUUCAGAAGGAGAAGAAGAAAAAGAAGUUGUUGUUGUUGUUGCUACAGUCCUGGCAAAAGCUUUUGUUCUAGGUAAUAAAAGAAGUUAGUUUAAAAAA